UAGCUAGUUGGUGGGGUAAAGGCCUACCAAGGCGACGAUCGGUAGCUGGUCUGAGAGAAUGACCAGCCACACUGGAACUGAGACACGGUCCAGACUCCUACGGGAGGCAGCAGUGGGGAAUAUUGGACAAUGGGGGCAACCCUGAUCCAGCAAUGCCGCGUGUGUGAAGAAGGCCUGAGGGUUGUAAAGCACUUUCAGUGGGGAGGAGGGUUGAUAGGUUAAGAGCUAAUUAACUGGACGUUACCCACAGAAGAAGCACCGGCUAACUCCGUGCCAGCAGCCGCGGUAAUACGGAGGGUGCGAGCGUUAAUCGGAAUUACUGGGCGUAAAGGGUGCGUAGGUGGUUUGGUAAGUUAUCUGUGAAAUCCCUGGGCUCAACCUGGGCAGGUCAGAUAAAACUGCUGGACUCGAGUAUGGGAGAGGGUAGUGGAAUUUCCGGUGUAGCGGUGAAAUGCGUAGAGAUCGGAAGGAACACCAGUGGCGAAGGCGGCUACCUGGCCUAAUACUGACACUGAGGCACGAAAGCGUGGGGAGCAAACAGGAUUAGAUACCCUGGUAGUCCACGCUGUAAACGAUGUCAACUAGCUGUUGGAUAUAUGAAUAUAUUUAGUGGCGC
rnacentral:rRNA from 1 species